rnacentral:rRNA from 1 species
AAAUUGAAGAGUUUGAUCAUGGCUCAGAUUGAACGCUGGCGGCAGGCCUAACACAUGCAAGUCGAACGGUAACAGGAAGCAGCUUGCUGCUUUGCUGACGAGUGGCGGACGGGUGAGUAAUGUCUGGGAAACUGCCCGAUGGAGGGGGAUAACUACUGGAAACGGUAGCUAAUACCGCAUAACGUCGCAAGACCAAAGAGGGGGACCUUCGGGCCUCUUGCCAUCGGAUGUGCCCAGAUGGGAUUAGCUAGUAGGUGGGGUAAUGGCUCACCUAGGCGACGAUCCCUAGCUGGUCUGAGAGGAUGACCAGCCACACUGGAACUGAGACACGGUCCAGACUCCUACGGGAGGCAGCAGUGGGGAAUAUUGCACAAUGGGCGCAAGCCUGAUGCAGCCAUGCCGCGUGUAUGAAGAAGGCCUUCGGGUUGUAAAGUACUUUCAGCGGGGAGGAAGGGAGUAAAGUUAAUACCUUUGCUCAUUGACGUUACCCGCAGAAGAAGCACCGGCUAACUCCGUGCCAGCAGCCGCGGUAAUACGGAGGGUGCAAGCGUUAAUCGGAAUUACUGGGCGUAA